AACGCACCUUGCACUCCUUGGUAUUCCGAGGAGUAUGCCUGUUUGAGUGUCUUGUAAUCAUCAAUCUUACAUUGCUUUUGUGAUGUCUGAUUGGAUUUGGAGACUGCUGGCUUAAUCGCUGGCUUCUCUUGAAUGCAUUAGUUGAAUCGACUUGCAACGCUACGUGUGGUGUGAUAAUAUCUUCACUGCAUAGUUGUAAUGAAGUUUGGCUUCUAACAGUCCUUCGUUGGACAAUACUUGACCAUUUGACCUCAAAUCAGGUAGGACUACCCGCUGAACUUAA
rnacentral:misc_RNA from 1 species